CUUAAUUUCCCUCAAUAGUAAUAUUAUUUAGGUAGUGUUUGGCUCUGGUAUAAAUAAGAAUAGUUAUUACAGAAAUAACUAUAAGUAUAGGAAUAAGAAAAAUAGUAUUUAUAUAUAAAAAUUGUGUUGUUUUCGGGAAUAGAAAAAAUAGCGUUUGGAUAGAUAAUAUAGAAUAAGAAAAAUAGUUAGUAGUUAUAUAUAAAAAAUGAAGGUGUUGGUUGGAAUAGUUAUACCAGCUUAUUUCAGAUAUCCGAAAAUUACUAUUCUCGCGUAAAAAUUUAUGUUUGGGUAUAAAAGGGGUGAUUAGGGAUGUUAAUGGGUAUGGAUAUUCAAAAUUUUAUUCGAACCCGAACCCGAACCCGAAAGAAUGGAUAUAGAUAUGGAUUCGGACCUGGAUAUAAAAAAUAGAAACCUGAAGGAUAUGGAUUCGGAUAUGGAUUUUGAUUGUACCCGACCCGAACCCGAACCCGGCCCAAACCCGACCCGAACCCGAAUUUAUUUUGUAUUAUAUAUAAUAUAUAUAUAAAAAUUUGAUGUUAUAUUUGAAUUUGUAUUUUAAAAAUUUAGAUUUAAUAUAAUAUAUUUUGAAAUAUUGAAAAAAGAAAUAAUUGUUUCGGGUUCAAAUUUUUGGGUUCGGGUUCGGGUUCGGGUUCGAGUUUCGAAUUUUUGAUCGGAUUCGGGUUUGGAUAUGGAUUUUUAAAAUCCGUCGGGUUCGGGUCUCGGGUUUGGAGUCGGGUUCAGUUUCGGAUUUUUAAAAAUCCACUCCGAAUCCGACCCGAUGACAUCUCUAGAGGUGAUAAGGGGUUAUCCCUUAUCCCUCCCCUUAUCCCUCAUCCAAUACUUUGAAG
rnacentral:lncRNA from 1 species